UACGAGGGGGGCGAGCGUUGUUCGGAAUCACUGGACGUAAAGCGCACGUAGGCGGAUUUUUAAGUCAGGGGUGAAAUCCCGAGGCUCAACCUCGGAACUGCCUUUGAUACUGGAGAUCUUGAGUCCGGAAGAGGUAAGUGGAACUGCGAGUGUAGAGGUGAAAUUCGUAGAUAUUCGCAAGAACACCAGUGGCGAAGGCGGCUUACUGGUCCGGAACUGACGCUGAGGUGCGAAAGCGUGGGGAGCAAACAGG
rnacentral:rRNA from 1 species